GGCUUCCCCGCUCCCUGGCUCAGAGGCCCAGGAAAGGGAGAGAGAGGUGAAGCCAGUGUGCAGCAGAGACCCAUGGCCAUGAACUUUCAGGAAAAUGUGACCCUGGCCAUGGCUGUGUUCACCAUCCUCGCCUCCAUCUACUUCUUCAACAAGGUUCAUCAGUGAGAAGACACAGGACCCCCCAGUCCCAGAGCCCUGCCUCUGCCCACACCAUGACGCUGGCCUCUGGGCCAAAUAAAUGUAACUGAACCAGC